rnacentral:rRNA from 1 species
GAUGAACGCUAGCGGCAGGCCUAAUACAUGCAAGCCAAGGGCUGUUUGGUGUAGCAAUCUCUCAAAAAAUUGGCGGACGGGUGCGUAAUGCGUAUGCAAUAUACCAUCUAUAGGAGGAUAGUACCCGGAAACGACGAUUACUAAUACAUAAGAUUGUUUUGAGGCAUCUUUAUCCAUUUAAAGACGCAAGGUGGUUUAGGAUGGGCGUGCGUUCGAUUGGCCAGUUGGUGAGGUAACGGCUCACCAAGGCGAUGAUCGGUAGGGGGUCUGAGAGGAAGAUCCCCCAGACGUGCACUGAGACACAGGCCCGUCUGCGACGGGAGGCAGCAGUAAGGAAUAUAAUACGAGGGAUGAAAGCCUAGUCCAGCCAUGCCGCGUGCAGAAAGAAGGCGCUAUGGAUUGUAAGCUGCUUUGGAGAAGGAGAUAUGAAAGCGAUGCGUCGCUCGAUGAUGGUACUUCUCGAGUAAGCAACGGCUAACUUCGUG